CUACCGGGUAUCUGUCCUGUUUGCUCCCCACGCUUUCGAUGCAUGAGCGUCAGUGUUAUCCCGGGCUGCCUUCGCCAUCGGUGUUCUCGCAUAUCUACGCAUUUCACUGCUACACGCGGAAUUCCACCUCCCUCGGCUUACUCUAGCUCGGUAGUAAAAUGCGGGUUAAAGGUCGCUACAGUUCACAUCUUUUCCAAACCGCCUGCACGCUUUACGCCCAGUAAUUCCGGAAUUAACGCUUUGCACCCUGCAUUAUGCCGCGGCUGUAGCGCGUGGAUGGCGGUGCUUGUUCUGCGGUGCACCGUCGAUUUGCACAGGGUAUUAUCCGUGCCGUUUCCUUCUACCAAAAGUGCUUUACAACCGAAGAAGGCCCUUCAUCUUUGCCCGAGAUGGCUGGAUCAGAGGUUUUUAUUCGUCAAAAAUUCCCCAUAACGUCCACGU
rnacentral:misc_RNA from 1 species